GACGAACGCUGGCGGCGUGCUUAACACAUGCAAGUCGAACGGAAAGGCCCUGCUUUUGUGGGGUGCUCGAGUGGCGAACGGGUGAGUAACACGUGAGUAACCUGCCCUUGACUUUGGGAUAACUUCAGGAAACUGGGGCUAAUACCGUAUAGGAGCUCCUGCUGCAUUGUGGGGGUUGGAAAGUUUCGGCGGUUGGGGCUGGACUCGCGGCUUAUCAGCUUGUUGGUCGGGUAGUGGCUUACCAAGGCUUUGACGGGUAGCCGGCCUGAGAGGGUGACCGGCCACAAGGGGACUGAGAUACGCCCCAGACUGCUAUGGGGGGCAGCAGUGGAGAAUAUUGCACAAUGGGCCGAAGCCUGAUACGGCAACGCUGCGUUCGGGAUGACGGCCUUCGGGUUGUGAACCGCUUUAGCCUGAGACGAAGCGUGAGUGACGGUAAUGGAUAAAGAAGCACCGGCUAACUACGUG
rnacentral:rRNA from 1 species